CCUACGGGGGGCAGCAGUGGGGAAUAUUGGGCAAUGGGCGCAAGCCUGACCCAGCAACGCCGCGUGAAGGAAGAAGGCUUUCGGGUUGUAAACUUCUUUUCUCAGGGACGAAGCAAGUGACGGUACCUGAUGAAUAAGCCACGGCUAACUACGUGCCAGCAGCCGCGGUAAUACGUAGGUGGCAAGCGUUAUCCGGAUUUACUGGGUGUAAAGGGCGUGUAGGCGGGAAAGCAAGUCAGAUGUGAAAACCAUGGGCUCAACCUGUGGCCUGCAUUUGAAACUGGUUUUCUUGAGUACUGGAGAGGAAGACGGAAUUCCUAGUGUAGCGGUGAAAUGCGUAGAUAGUAGGAGGAAUACCAGUGGCGAAGGCGGUCUGCUGGACAGCAACUGACGCUGAGGCGCGAAAGCGUGGGGAGCAAACAGGAUUAGAUACCCUGGUAGUC
rnacentral:rRNA from 1 species